rnacentral:lncRNA from 12 species
ACAGGUUCACUGUGGGAGUUUUAUAAGCCAAUAGAGCAUAAAAGAUAGUAUCUUUUAAUAAGCCCAUAAAGAAAUGACAUACUCCAAAUUAAUGAUAGCUUAGUCAACUAUUGUUUCAGGCAAGAGGAGUUGAAAAAGAGAAAGUCCAAAUUUAGUUGGAGUAUACCUUUAUGCAAGUUGGUAAUGAGGAGAGUUGGGUUAGCCAAUUGAAGGCUGACGUCUGCCUGCCAGGGCAAAGGUGAAAGUCCCCUGUUGCUGGAGCACACUGCUCCAGAAUGUCGGCCUCAGUACUGACGGGCAAGACUGCUGCAUGGUCACCACUGCUGAUUUGAAGUCCAUGCCACAUGUGGGCCAACUUUGUAUGAUGAUGAAGCAACAGCCUUAGACGUCAGGCAUGACAAGGGUCAACAGGCUCAUCUGGGGAACAAGGGGAAGAGGCAUUUUGCAUUCUCUUCAAGCAGCCUGUGGGGUCCUGAAUAAACACGGGAGCAGAACUUGGACAAAGAGACAUCCUAGGCUGGAGUAGUCAGAGAGGGCUUCCUGGAGGAAGUGAACGGUGUUGUGUAGAUUCACAAUUUGAAGUACCAGAUGGAGAGUAUUCCAAGCUGGGACAACAAAUAACGGAGUCAAUUGAGAGAAAGGUGAAGAGGCACCUUCAGACACCUCAUUUAAUCGUCUCAGCUCUAAGUCGUGUGUCGUGUGCCCGGGAGAAAACAGGCCUCUGGAGAAGCUGCUGCUGCUGCUUGAGGGUCCUAGGAUUAUCGGCUUCUUUGGUUAACAACUACCU